UUGGCAUUUAAGUAAAAGUGGUGGAUGAAAAGGAUUCUUCAGAGAAAUACAAUCUGUGUUUCAACUUCUACAUCUUUGAGCUGCCUGGCUUUACAUGUGCUAUCAAUUGUCUUAAAACCAGUGUAUAACGAGGUGACAAUUAUGAAAUUGUGUCAGCAGUGGAGUUUUCUUCAGCAAAUACAAUUCAAAAUGCCACAGAAGCUGCAUCAAUGAAUCAUCUAGUGCCCAUCAAGCUUGAA